rnacentral:rRNA from 1 species
UUAGAAUUGACGGGGGCCCGCACAAGCGGUGAGCAUGUGGUUAAUUCGACGCAACGCGCAGAACCUUACCUGGUCCUGACAUCCCGGGAAUUUCCUUGAAAGAGGGAAGUGCCUCGCAAGAGGAGCCUGGAGACAGGUGCUGCAUGGCUGUCGUCAGUUCGUGUCGUGAGAUGUUGGGUUAAGUCCCGCAACGAGCGCAACCCUUGUCUUUAGUUGCCAUCAUUCAGUUGGGCACUCUAAAGAGACUGCCGGUGUCAAACCGGAGGAAGUGGGGAUGACGUCAAGUCCUCAUGGCCUUUAUGGCCAGGGCUACACACGUACUACAAUGGCCGGUACAAAGGGCAGCCACUUAGCGAUAAGGAGCCAAUCCCGUAAAGCCGGUCUCAGUCCGGAUUGGAGUCUGCAACUCGACUCCAUGAAGUUGGAAUCGCUAGUAAUCGCAGAUCAGCACGCUGCGGUGAAUACGUUCCCGGGCCUU